GCGGAUUACUCCUAUAAAGGAGCCUGGGCAACUCGGCCAGCCAAGGGGUUUGAAGGGGGGAUUUCAUCUGAUCCGUUCAUUGGUCGUGCCACAGUAAAAAAGCUGCUCCGCUUUUCACUUCAACCGUUGGAUCUGUGAAAAUUUUCCUCACUUCGUAAGCUUCCGAAAGAGUCCAUGACGCGUGGGCUCAGCUACGUGCGGGGGCCAGGGGUGAGAGGCAUCUACUGCUGUUCGGUCGCCUUGCUGGUGAAAACGUAGAUCGCUCUCCCCAAUCCCUGCUCCUCCUCUCAUACCCAAUCCCGUCUCUCCUCCCAGGCUCCCAGGGGCGGCCUCUCUCCCCCAAGCUAGCCCCAUGUGGCCAUGUGAGGCCGGAGAGGGCGGAGGCGAGCGAAUGGAGCCGGAUGGAUGGUCAAGACGGGGACGGCCGCGGUCGAGGAGGAUGGCGGUGCACCUGCUUGAGAAGGUUGUCCACAGCCGGCUGGGGCUCGAGAUCUCCUUCCCUGGCUCGUUUUCUGCUCCUCCCUUAAUAGCUGCUGAAUGAGGCAGAGAAGAGGUGCUCGCAGAUCUCGCCAAAAAAUCUGAUCUGAGAUGAAUUAAGCAUGGAUCGACAGGAGUUGGUGGAUUUGUGCAGGUUUGAUCUGCUCAAAGUAAUUUCUUUUUUGAGAACGAGAUUUUUUUCUUGAUGCUUAUGACAUACCUUCUGUUCCCGGCGGUGUAAAUCUGCAGGGACAAUGAGAUGAGGUUGGUUCUACAAGUAAUCACAUCUGCAGCUUUAGAUUUGGUUUUGCUAUUUGAAAAACCACAGAUCUGAGUCCAUAUUUAUUUAGUAAAUUACAUUGUAUCAGUGAUGUAUAUGAUCUUCGCAGGGAGCAAUAUUGAUGUCUUUCUGCUCUAAAAGAUUUAAAAGUGGCAUUCCCUUUGGCAAUAUUGCUAUUUCCCCUCUUUGUACCUUUAGAAGUGGCAUUCUCUGAGUCUUGCUAUUUGUAUUUGAUCUAUAAGGUUCUAGAGAAUACUUGGUUCAAUACUACAUGCUGGACAAGAUGAUUUCCUUAUAAGCUACAGGAUUGCAUUGCUACUUGGUGGUUGUCAUUCUUUUAACCUUUUCAGAGAUAGAAGAAAGUGUGUUCUACAGUUCUACUUGCCACAAUUAGUUUAUAUAUAUAAUACUGGCCUUUGAAGACAUGGGUUUUGGAAAUAUUUGAAGUGUACUACAUGGUACAGUAGUAAGUAGAAAACAUCUAUAAAUUCAGUAGCAUGCACUCAUGGAAUUACUGGUGGACUUAAUUUGUCUUUUGGCUUAGCCACUGAGGUCUUAUGUCCUAAGUUUUUGUACUACAUAGUAUGGUUGUAAGCUGCAACCAACUAUAAAUUCAGUAAUCAUGCACUCACGGAUUUACCGGUGGAAUUUGCUUAAUCUUAAUGGAAAAAUAGGGAACAUUUGUUUCCGGUUCUUGAAAAAAAAGGCUGUCUUUUUUGACUUAGUCACUCAGGCCUGAUGUCCUAAUUUUUUGUACUACAUGGUACGGUAGUAAUAAGUACCAAACAGUUAUAUAUCCAGUAGUCAUGCAUUCACGGAUUUACUGGUGAGCAUGAUCUGUCAUUUGAAUCGGGUCUGAUGUCCUAAGUUUUGCUGCAGGUGUUGCCUACACUUUGCGACCGUCUAUCAAGGUUCUUAGCAAGCACUUCCUCUCAAAUGCUUCCAAGUUACUGAUUCCUCUUUAUCCAAUGCAUACAAGAUGAAUUCUUUUAGUUUCCACUUGAAUGAUAUGCCUCUUAGCCACCUCAAUGUUCAUUAUUGUUUAACAUAGCGAUAAGGCUAUCCAAACAAGUAAUUCUACAUCCUCUUUCUUAGUUAAAACUGAAUCUUUAUUAAGAAAGGAAAUUAUGUAAUGUCUAGGCAUAAUUUGUACGCAGAUGAAUACUGCACAUUAUUAUUGAGGUCAAUAAGUAUGGGCAUCCCUUGGCUCAUCAUUUCUUAUAUAGUAUGUUUGUAAUUCUUCUCAGCAAGCACUCAUUUGCUUCAUGCAUAUACAGUAUUGAGCAUUGACCUAUAUUCUACUGCCUUAAUUUGAACUUGAUUUUGAGUCAUGUCGGAGGAUUUGACACAGUACUGCCCAUCUUGACAAAUACACAUGCUAAAACAUUGGGUUUUCUUUUGCAUAUAUGCAUCCCUGGAGUAAGCUCGGCAUCAAGUCCUUUAGCUUGCAUGCUCUAUAGUAUUUUAGUUCCAUCGCAAUAGUAUGUGAAUAUUGACUCUGUAUUCUGCUUACUAGGUACAGAUGCACCUAAUUGGUUGAGUCUGAAUUCACUUUGAUUGGAAGAGUUGCCCAGGAUAUCAUUGGCGUGGCCUAUACGGAUAAUUACUGAGACAUGGUUCCAAUUGCUAAUCUAGCUGUUGUAGAUGCUCAAAUUAGGCAUACAUAGCCUGAGCUGGCUGCCGUUUUAUCCUACAAAUAUCAGUUUCUUAUACGUGUGACAACUAACAGCUUAAAAGUGAGAUGGGCAUCAUUCAAUCACACUGUUGAAGCCUGCUAUCCACCUGGAUGAGGGCAAACUCUACCAGAGUUGUCAGUAACCCUAGCACCUUCUAUCGAGAUGUUCUAAUCCUUGGCGGAAAUAGUGUGCCUUCUAAUAUGUAAUUAGCAAUAUUGACCAAGUAACUUAAGUGCUAGGUGUUUGCUUUUGUAUGCUUCUCCUUAGGUUAGUUGGUCUGUCCAAGAACUUCAAAAUGGAAGACUCCAAAUAGUGUGCGUGUAUGUAACACUCCAGAAAGUCAAGUAGUAUCUUCUAUUAUAUGAAGCUGGUAAUAUUAUCUAGGCAUUUAAGAACCAUAUAUUUUCAUAUAUUGCUGGUGUUCUAUUUGUAUA